rnacentral:rRNA from 1 species
CCCUUAGAUGUUCUGGGCUGCACGCGCGCUACACUGAUGCGCUCAACGAGUUUUAACCUUGCCUGGAAAGGUUGGGUAAUCUUUUUAAAACGCAUCGUGAUGGGGAUAGAUUAUUGCAAUUAUUAAUCUUCAACGAGGAAUUCCUAGUAAGCGCGAGUCAUCAGCUCGUGCUGAUUACGUCCCUGCGCUUUGUACACACCGCCCGUCGCUCCUACCGAUUGAGUGAUCCGGUUAAUAAUUCGGACUGCGGCAUUGACCGGUUCCCGAUCGUUGCUGCGGAAAGUUUAGUGAACCUUAUCACUUAGAGGAAGGAGAAGUCGUAACA